GGUGGCUCAGUGGUUAGAGUGCUUGCCUUGAAUGCAAGAAACCCUGGUUUUGAUUCCUCAGCACCA
rnacentral:tRNA from 1 species